rnacentral:misc_RNA from 1 species
UCUCAAUUUUGAUGGUGUUUUCGCCCAGUAUUCUUACCCGAAAAGGUCCACAGGAAGUACAAAUUGGAGCACUAUUUUCACUCAACCGGAAAAUAUUUGUACUGCAAUUAAUGGAACUUUGGGUAGUGGAGCUUGCGGAUACAACAGCAUCUGUAGCCUUAAUGAUAAGCAAAGGCCAGCCUGUACCUGCCCGCAGGGGUUUUCCCUGCUUGAUUCGAACGAUGAGCAUGGAAACUGCAAACCAGAUUCUGAAGUAGGCG